rnacentral:rRNA from 1 species
UUGCCUACGGGGGGCAGCAGUGGGGGAUAUUGCACAAUGGGGGGAACCCUGAUGCAGCGACGCCGCGUGGGUGAAGAAGCGCCUCGGCGCGUAAAGCCCUGUCAGCAGGGAAGAAAAUGACGGUACCUGAAGAAGAAGCCCCGGCUAACUACGUGCCAGCAGCCGCGGUAAUACGUAUGGGGCAAGCGUUAUCCGGAUUUACUGGGUGUAAAGGGAGCGUAGGCGGCGAUGCAAGUCAGAAGUGAAAGCCCGGGGCUCAACUCCGGGACUGCUUUUGAAACUGUGUUGCUAGAUUGCAGGAGAGG